AACGCUGACCGGCAGGCUUAAUCAUGCAAGUCGCGCGGAGAGAGGUAGCUUGCUACUGAUCUUAGCGGCGGACGGGUGAGUAAUGCUUAGGAAUCUGCCUAUUAGUGGGGGACAACAUUUCGAAAGGAAUGCUAAUACCGCAUACGUCCUACGGGAGAAAGCAGGGGAUCUUCGGACCUUGCGCUAAUAGAUGAGCCUAAGUCGGAUUAGCUAGUUGGUGGGGUAAAGGCCUACCAAGGCGACGAUCUGUAGCGGGUCUGAGAGGAUGAUCCGCCACACUGGGACUGAGACACGGCCCAGACUCCUACGGGAGGCAGCAGUGGGGAAUAUUGGACAAUGGGCGCAAGCCUGAUCCAGCCAUGCCGCGUGUGUGAAGAAGGCCUUAUGGUUGUAAAGCACUUUAAGCGAGGAGGAGGCUACUUUAGAUAAUACCUAGAGAUAGUGGACGUUACUCGCAGAAUAAGCACCGGCUAACUCUGUGCCAGCAGCCGCGGUAAUACAGAGGGUGCAAGCGUUAAUCGGAUUUACUGGGCGUAAAGCGCGCGUAGGCGGCUAAUUAAGUCAAAUGUGAAAUCCCCGAGCUUAACUUGGGAAUUGCAUUCGAUACUGGUUAGCUAGAGUGUGGGAGAGGAUGGUAGAAUUCCAGGUGUAGCGGUGAAAUGCGUAGAGAUCUGGAGGAAUACCGAUGGCGAAGGCAGCC
rnacentral:rRNA from 1 species